GGGUUGUGAGGUUAAGCGACUAAGCGUACACGGUGGAUGCCCUGGCAGUCAGAGGCGAUGAAGGACGUGCUAAUCUGCGAUAAGCGUCGGUAAGGUGAUAUGAACCGUUAUAACCGGCGAUUUCCGAAUGGGGAAACCCAGUGUGAUUCGUUACACUAUCAUUAACUGAAUCCAUAGGUUAAUGAGGCGAACCGGGGGAACUGAAACAUCUAAGUACCCCGAGGAAAAGAAAUCAACCGAGAUUCCCCCAGUAGCGGCGAGCGAACGGGGAGCAGCCCAGAGCCUGAAUCAGUGUGUGUGUUAGUGGAAGCGUCUGGAAAGGCGUGCGAUACAGGGUGACAGCCCCGUACACAAAAAUGCACAUAUUGUGAGCUCGAUGAGUAGGGCGGGACACGUGGUAUCCUGUCUGAAUAUGGGGGGACCAUCCUCCAAGGCUAAAUACUCCUGACUGACCGAUAGUGAACCAGUACCGUGAGGGAAAGGCGAAAAGAACCCCGGCGAGGGGAGUGAAAAAGAACCUGAAACCGUGUACGUACAAGCAGUGGGAGCACGCUUAGGCGUGUGACUGCGUACCUUUUGUAUAAUGGGUCAGCGACUUAUAUUCUGUAGCAAGGUUAACCGAAUAGGGGAGCCGAAGGGAAACCGAGUCUUAACUGGGCGUUAAGUUGCAGGGUAUAGACCCGAAACCCGGUGAUCUAGCCAUGGGCAGGUUGAAGGUUGGGUAACACUAACUGGAGGACCGAACCGACUAAUGUUGAAAAAUUAGCGGAUGACUUGUGGCUGGGGGUGAAAGGCCAAUCAAACCGGGAGAUAGCUGGUUCUCCCCGAAAGCUAUUUAGGUAGCGCCUCGUGAAUUCAUCUCCGGGGGUAGAGCACUGUUUCGGCAAGGGGGUCAUCCCGACUUACCAACCCGAUGCAAACUGCGAAUACCGGAGAAUGUUAUCACGGGAGACACACGGCGGGUGCUAACGUCCGUCGUGAAGAGGGAAACAACCCAGACCGCCAGCUAAGGUCCCAAAGUCAUGGUUAAGUGGGAAACGAUGUGGGAAGGCCCAGACAGCCAGGAUGUUGGCUUAGAAGCAGCCAUCAUUUAAAGAAAGCGUAAUAGCUCACUGGUCGAGUCGGCCUGCGCGGAAGAUGUAACGGGGCUAAACCAUGCACCGAAGCUGCGGCAGCGACACUAUGUGUUGUUGGGUAGGGGAGCGUUCUGUAAGCCUGUGAAGGUGUACUGUGAGGUAUGCUGGAGGUAUCAGAAGUGCGAAUGCUGACAUAAGUAACGAUAAAGCGGGUGAAAAGCCCGCUCGCCGGAAGACCAAGGGUUCCUGUCCAACGUUAAUCGGGGCAGGGUGAGUCGACCCCUAAGGCGAGGCCGAAAGGCGUAGUCGAUGGGAAACAGGUUAAUAUUCCUGUACUUGGUGUUACUGCGAAGGGGGGACGGAGAAGGCUAUGUUGGCCGGGCGACGGUUGUCCCGGUUUAAGCGUGUAGGCUGGUUUUCCAGGCAAAUCCGGAAAACUAAGGCUGAGGCGUGAUGACGAGGCACUACGGUGCUGAAGCAACAAAUGCCCUGCUUCCAGGAAAAGCCUCUAAGCAUCAGGUAACAUCAAAUCGUACCCCAAACCGACACAGGUGGUCAGGUAGAGAAUACCAAGGCGCUUGAGAGAACUCGGGUGAAGGAACUAGGCAAAAUGGUGCCGUAACUUCGGGAGAAGGCACGCUGAUAUGUAGGUGAAGUCCCUCGCGGAUGGAGCUGAAAUCAGUCGAAGAUACCAGCUGGCUGCAACUGUUUAUUAAAAACACAGCACUGUGCAAACACGAAAGUGGACGUAUACGGUGUGACGCCUGCCCGGUGCCGGAAGGUUAAUUGAUGGGGUCAGCGCAAGCGAAGCUCUUGAUCGAAGCCCCGGUAAACGGCGGCCGUAACUAUAACGGUCCUAAGGUAGCGAAAUUCCUUGUCGGGUAAGUUCCGACCUGCACGAAUGGCGUAAUGAUGGCCAGGCUGUCUCCACCCGAGACUCAGUGAAAUUGAACUCGCUGUGAAGAUGCAGUGUACCCGCGGCAAGACGGAAAGACCCCGUGAACCUUUACUAUAGCUUGACACUGAACAUUGAGCCUUGAUGUGUAGGAUAGGUGGGAGGCUUUGAAGUGUGGACGCCAGUCUGCAUGGAGCCGAC
rnacentral:rRNA from 1 species